GACGAACGCUGGCGGCGUGCCUAAUACAUGCAAGUAGAACGCACAGUUUAUACCGUAGCUUGCUACACCAUAGACUGUGAGUUGCGAACGGGUGAGUAACGCGUAGGUAACCUGCCUGGUAGCGGGUGAUAACUAUUGGAAACGAUAGCUAAUACCGCAUAAUAUUGAUUAUUGCAUGAUAAUUGAUUGAAAGCUGCUAUUGCAUCACUACCAGAUGGACCUGCGUUGUAUUAGCUAGUAGGUGAGGUAACGGCUCACCUAGGCGACGAUACAUAGCCGACCUGAGAGGGUGAUCGGCCACACUGGGACUGAGACACGGCCCAGACUCCUACGGGAGGCAGCAGUAGGGAAUCUUCGGCAAUGGACGAAAGUCUGACCGAGCAACGCCGCGUGAGUGAAGAAGGUUUUCGGAUCGUAAAGCUCUGUUGUAAGAGAAGAACGGGUGUGAGAGUGGAAAGUUCACACUGUGACGGUAUCUUACCAGAAAGGGACGGCUAACUACGUG
rnacentral:rRNA from 1 species